rnacentral:rRNA from 1 species
AUGGUCAGUUCUCCAAUAACUGUUGUGCAAGAUAAUGCCCCUGCUAGGAAUUCACCAGAUGCUGGUUUUGGAGCUGUGGAUGAGCUUGCGGCAGCAGCCACUAUUACUCAAGUGGUAGAAGAAAUUGCCAAUGUUGUUAUUGGCACUAAAGCUGAAACUUCUGCUGAUCAACCUAAAGGAAUUGCUCAUUCAACAAGCAUUGCCGUAGCUGAAACUUCUGUUGAUCAAGUUCAAGGAAUUGCUCCUCCAAUGACCGCUGCUGUAGCUGAAGAUGACCAAGCUUCUGUCAAAAUACUAUGUGUUGUUCAAGCCACUGUUCAAGAUAUCUUCCGAUAUGCCGAUAAAUCGGCCGAUUUAUCGCUUACCGCUGUCAGACCGAUAAGAUAA